rnacentral:rRNA from 1 species
GGUACCACUCCUUCCCAUCCCGAACAGGACAGUGAAACGACUUUGCGCCGAUGAUAGUGCGGGUUCCCGUGUGAAAGUAGGUCAUCGUCAGGC